GUGAGUCAUCGAAUCUUUGAACGCAUCUUGCACUCUCUGGUCCUCCAGAGAGUAUGCCUGUUUGAGUAUCAUUUAACUCCUCAUUCCCUCCACGGGCGUUUGCGCGCCAUGUGGUGGGCAAUGGAAGUGAGCGUCCGGCGUGCCCUUGUGGCAGGCGCUGGUUGCUUGAAAUGCAGCGUGGCUGUGCUUGAUCCACAUUCCACCGGCGUAUUAGUUCUCGUCAGAGAUUCCUUACGCACCAACGGUGGGGUUUUCGCGAUCUGCAGCUGCGACCUUUUGACCGCAGUGCGCUUACAGUUG
rnacentral:misc_RNA from 1 species